AAAUGCUUGGACCUAGAAAUACGGCACUAGAGAUUAGCUUUAGAAGUCUAGCCUGGGGAAAGAAGUCCAGAACUUGGUUUAGGGGCACAGGAUCUUUACACAGUGCACAGGACUGGCAGGAAUGUGGCAUGUAAAACAGGCAACAUAGCCAUUUCCUUACAGAAUAUGCUAAAGUCAGCACCUUUAAAGUGAAGUUGCCUAAACCCCAGUAACAAACACCAAGUACAGUGGCAUUUCAGGCAUGACAGAAAGUGCCUUUAUCUACCUACUGUUAUCACAUUGGGUUUCCUAUUUUUCUGAUGAAGGAGCCAUGACUGCUGCAAGCAUCUUUCCAGAGUGAUGUUGCCCAUACAUUCAUUUACUCUCCUUACUUUAUAGAGUAGGGAAGAAAUUUGAGCAAAUUUUUUCAGGACAAAAUUAUUUAGGUCGUUAAAUUCAAAGGAAGAAGGGGUAUUGCAUCAUUCUAAUAAAAAUGGGUAAAAGAAGUAAGAACCAAGCUUUAAAAUAAAUCUGUUACAUAACGGGUAACUAUCUGAGGUUUGUUUUGUUCCUAGAGUUUGGAUCUGGAAAGCAUUUUUUCUUGUUUUCACAUUAGGAGCAUGACUCCUCAUUUGAGAGCAUCAGCUGGCUGAUGCUUGUUUUGUUUUUUAUUUUCUAGACAAAAUCUAAGUAGAACAAUGAAGUCUUGCAUUCUGAGUGGUGAAGAGUCUUAAUCUGAAGGCAAAAAAUACCAUUUUUUAAUUAUUUUUUUGUUUUCAUGGAUGAUUUUAUCCAAGUGUUCUGUAAUUCACUAUAACUUUGAAAGGAAGGCUGUGCAGAAUUCAUUGCAAAUGUUCAGUGAUAAUUGUUACUGAGCACUUACCAGCAGAUCUUAAUGUGAGCUCCUUUGAUCAGCACUAGUGCUUUGAAGGGUGUUGUCUUGAUCCAAUGUGCUGAUUAAGUAGUUGUUUCAUCCACCUGUUGUGGUAGCUAAAUUGGGUCUGAGUUGAGCUGUAAUAGUCCUCCAUAUGUCCCCCAUUGCUAUAAGUAAUCCAGUCAUUCUUCCUGUAUAAUUAAAUCUGUUAUAUGCUUUUGUUUUUAUUUGCAGUGCUUCACCAUGACGACUGUCGCAGCAGAUAGCUCUGGUAACUAUGAAAAGUAGUGGAUGGAAUUGAGCCAGAGUUAUGGUAGCUCUGGUUUGGACUUUGUAAAAAAUAUCUUUGAGCCCUUCAGUGAGGUGGAAGAAGCUUUCUGGCAGUAAGAGAGUGAAUGACCUGAAUUGUAUUGUUCCACAGAGGGUUGCGAGGGGUAUGCUGUGCCAGAUAAGUUGGAAAACAUGCUAUGGUUGGCAGGCCAAAAUCAUGUAGGUUUUCUUCUGUCUCUGUGGGGUUCUUUGUCAUUUUUCUACAUUUUCCUUUUCUUCAAGUUUGGUCUGAUGAGCAGUCUGAAGUAGCGGAUUCUGUGGCUAUAGGAAGAGAUGCCGUAGGAAAAUGGAUUGAUCUAAAAAAUAAAGCAGCUGCCAUUAAGCAAGACAAAUUUGUCAUCAAAACUCAUGAUGAAAUUACUGAAUUAUUAGAUGGAGAACUGGAUGCUCUCUGGUCUUUUUGCACCAUUAAGAUAAACAAGAUGCGUCAGCAGCUGAUCUCUAAGCAGGCAAAUGGUUGCAAGUCAAGAAAACUGCAGCAUGGAUUCACAGCAAAGAAAGCAGAGACAAGUGACUUGAACUGCAUUGUUCCUGAUCGGCUAGUGAACACAAUCCACCUGAAAAACAUCAGAGAGACUGUUAAACAGGUGAAAGAAGCUCAAAUCCAUGAAUCUUCAGUAUGCCCUGACUGUCAGGAUAAGAAAGCAGAGCUAGCCAAGAUAACCUUUCUCAGACAAAAGAAGAUUCUAAUGGAAAGUGCUUUAAUCCAAGCAAAACUGGAAGAACAGAUUUACUCCAGAGAUGUGCUUACACGUAUAGGAGAAGCACUCAGAAGCUUUCCCAAACCUUCAGAGAAUCCCGCGAACUUAUGGCAAAGGCUGAAAGAAGGGCAAGGAGGAGUAUCUGUGGAAGUACGGGCUGGUCAGCCUCACUUCAGUUCCUUGGGAAGGUAACACAGAAGAUCUGCUUGGAAGCCAUUCCUGAGCAUAAUAAGAACAAGAAGUUAAAGGAAGGACUGAGUUUGGCGAAUGUCUGAAAUCUUCAGCUUCAUUGGAAGGAUGAAGGCCAGAAAUUAUACGUGAGCUACUACAGUUCUGUUGUUUUAAUAGGAAGCUAAUUGUACAUACUUGACCCUUAGGGUAACUCAAACUUCCUUUGACUUCCUGAUCAUAUUGAUUGAGUAGGAAUGUUGAUAGGGACAUAUAAACCAACAGCAAGUAAGAGAAAUGUGUAAUACUGUUCUCAAAUGAACAAUGAACAUGAAAACAUCUUUCCAAAGCAAACUGACCUGAAACUAUAAACCUGCCCCUUGUGAAGUGAUAUAAAAAAUGUUUGAUUUCAACAGUAGGAGAAUCUCUGGUUUCUGUCUUUGUGUGUGUCUUUCAUGUACUCAGCCAUACAUAUGCUGUGCAUUUCCAAAUGUUGAAUUACUCCUAGCAUUUAUAUAAUCUUAAAUAUAUAUUGGCUUUUCAAUAUAGUUUCAAGCUUGCUUGCUUGCUUUCUGUCUUCAGCUUGCUUAUAAAUUUCCCUGCUGCCUUUCAAAUUCUCUCUUCUAUUUUUAUUGCAUUACAGAAGAAUGUGCCUUCUCUAAAUCUAGGUCUUUUUGAUAUAAAAACAUUUGUAUGAAAUGUAUCCAUCAUGCUGUAAACCUAAUAUGUAAAUGAUUCUUUUCUCCUCCUCCAGAGCAAGUGUAGCAAGACAUCUACUAAUGCACUUGUGCACAAAAUUGCAGAUGAAAGCCAGGGAGGGAGUGAGAGCAAAUGAAAGCGGGGACAAGGAGGAGGGAGAGAAAGGAGGAAGGAAUAGGAGGAGGAGAGAAGGCAGGAAAGGCUUCAAAAAGCAUGGAGUGAGAUUUCUUAGCCUCUCUACUUAUUUUUUACUGCAUCUUCUAUAAAUUCGUGUUUAAGAACAAAGGGCGAGCUUUUAAGAGUAUUUCAAAUAAUGUACAUAAGACCACCUUUGCCAUUUUCAAAAUCCAUGUGCAUACUAAUACACAUCUGUCUCUAUCUUUGGAUGCUUAAAAUACUUUUGGAAAUCUUAAGGUUUCAAGUCUACAAAGUGCUGAUCAGCUUUCAGCUGAAAGGCAGCUAGGCUUCAUACUUCCUGGAAGGUUCUGUGUACUUUGGGGCUGUGGGCUUAAAUAAUAAAUGUCAGGUUGUUACAGAAUGACACUUUAUGUAUGUGUGCAGUGUCACUGGGUUUGUAGGUGUUAAACACCUUAGAUUUAUCUGAGAAGUCCUAAAAUCAAACAACUUCUUUAUGCUUUUGUGUUCUGUAUUGUUAAUCUCAAAACAAAAUAGAAAAAAUUAUCUGUAUUAGACUUAUGUAUAGUCAUCCUUAGAAACUUAAUUUGCAUAAACCCCUUGCAAUUACUUCCAGUGAUAUAACUGAUAACUUAAAGAUUUAAGCAAGCCAAUCUCUUAGUUAAGUAUAUAAAAUUCUAGCCCUAGUCUCUUAGAAUGCUUUACGCUAUUUUUAUUCCAAUGAGCAAGAAAACUCUGCUUUUAGCAGUUGUUCAGCCUGUUCUGUCUUCAUUAUACCUGAGGUUUUCUCCUCCCUUAUGUUAGAAGGGGAAAAGAUGGCAAGUUUUGGAAGCACUUGUAACUCAUUCUGGCAUUGGACAGAUCCAUAAACCAACAGAAAGUUCAAUCUUGUUCCUAUGAAAGUAACAAUAUUUAGUGGGAUCCUGAUUCUCCUUAAAGCUGCAGUUGGCUUGGAUAACUUUCAGGGACAGUCUGUAUGACAAAGACAAGUCAUUUUAGAGAAGAACCUGAUACCAUCUUACCUCUGCAUUGAGAGAUGCUGAACAAAACAGUUUUCGCUGAUUCAGGUGGAAGUUGUAGGCUGUGCAACUCCUCAGGACAUCUGCUUUUAAGUUCCAGAAGAACUCAUGUGGGCAGGUGUAUGUGCUUAGUGUGGACCAUAAAUCUCACAUAACUCUUUUCCUGGUCAUUUAGUUUAUAGAGAACUCAUAUGGAACUAGCUCUGUUUUUUAAGGUUUUAAUUUUAAUUAAGUAAUCCCUGAAGUGUAGAGCAAUUGAAGCAACAGACCCAUUGUGUUGUAGAUUUAGACUCUCUGAAAUUGAUAUUCAUCCCACUGAUUCUAUUGGUGACUUCUCAUGAUAUUAUAACAUGUUAAUUUAGUGUAACUGUGAUUUGAUAAGCACCAGCAGCUUUUUAGGUGUGAUUACAGCCUUCUUGUACCUGAAUGUUUUGUCUGUACUAAGUCCAAAUCCUAUGGAAGUUGCUGGAGCCUGUUACCAGGUACAAACUACAUGUAAGUUGUCUUAUAGACUGAACGCUUGACAAAUUCCCUCCUUAAACCAGUGUGUUACUAAAAUGUACCAGUGAUAUGUACUUUAGCCUUCUUGUCUGUGUAGUGGUGUGAGGAAAGUUUAUCAUCCUGAUCUAUGAAAUCCUUGUAUGACAUCUUUAGUGUAGCUUUGAAACUCUAUAUUAAAUGCUCCCCAUAGGUGUGCAGACUGAGGUUUAAGCAUGCUGUAAUAAAACCUGUUAGGAAAAGACACUGGGUCUUAUUCCUUUCACAUGCUCAUAUUUGGGGAAGGGUUUGGAUUUUUUUCCCUUUUCUUUUAAACUUGCAAAACAGUGCUGUAUGGAAGUGCUGUUCUCUGAACAGUUGAACAGAUCUGUCCCUUCAUGAAGUUCACUUCAAAAUAGGCUUCUCUGCAUUUUAAAAACUAUGUUGAGAUUGUUUUCCUCAAAACAGCACACACCACCUCAUUCAGAGAGCAGAUUUGCCUAUAAGUCAUUCUUUGUUUUUCCUACUAAAGAAGCGGUCUUAUAUCAUCAUCUAAAAAAUGUACCCCUUGAAAUGUGGAUUAUUAUUUCCCUUUGAAAUUGUCUUUCAUGGUUAACUUUUUGCUAAUUUAGUUCAUUUCUUCUGCACAACAUUCUAUGCUGUUCUUCCCACACACCUUUCAAAAUCAGGGGCAAUUACAUCCUGUGAUUACAGAGGCAGCCUGUGAAUUUUUCCAUUAGUCUAUAUUUUCAAUGCUAUUCUGUGAAAAUGCAACUCCUGGAGUGCAAACAAUUCCCUAGCUUACACUGAUGCUUAAACUUGCUCAGCGAUAUUUUCCAC